GGACCAUGUUGCUUAUCACUCUGGUAGGGGAUGUAAUUUUCUCUUCUAAGCAAGGGAAAUGGCAGUGCUAAAUAGUUUUGUAACUUUUUGAAUGAGAAAAUUUUAGGUAAAGACAACCUGUCAGAUAAUAUUUUUCAGAUGCAUUUACAUUGACUAUGGGGAAAAGAUUGUGAAAAAAGUUGCAGUCAUGGGUUUUUUGUAAAAAGAGAAGGAAGAAACCUCUGUCUUGAAAUUUUGGUUUUUAAAAAUCAUGAUACUGUUUUACCAUAAAAUUGAGUAGCUAACUUUUGGUAACACCUUUUGUUUAUUUGUAUGUUUGUAAUAAUGGACAUUUUAAAACACAGGAAUGUUUUGGUUUGUAC
rnacentral:lncRNA from 1 species